CCACAAAGGCAGUCUAACUAAAAAAAUUCGGAAAAAACUGUUAGUGAAAAAAAAAAAAAUUUUAAAGUAAUUUUCGCGUGUGAAAAAGCAACCCAUCAGUCUCGUGUUUCUUUUAAUAAAAAAAAAUAAAAAUUUCUGCUUAGUUCGGCAUAAAAAAUACUGCUACAAAAGUUUUCGGAUCGAAGUUGGCUGGAAUUCACAUAGACAGCUUUCAUUCAGUUCAAUUCAAGGCAGCCACAAAAGCAGCCAACAAAACAAAAACCGGAAUUCCGUUCAAACAAUUCACACAAAAACGAAGCUAAAAAUAAAUUUCGAAUUAAUACAGCAACUGAAAGGUCUCUUGGCGCAGAAGAAACUUUUCUGAACUCUCUUGGCACAGGAGUUACUCAAUGCGCUGUUCGGGAUCCUCAACAACCCAACUACCAGUGGAACAUUCUUAGCCGGAACGCCAAGGGAUUUGCCGCCCAUGGCUACAGCUGCGUGGAGACUCAACCGAAACCUACACCCGGUCUACAGUGCCGGUGUUACAAUUGCAUUUAAUACAAAGUAAUCAAAGGCCGGCAUGUAUAUUUGUGAAACUGCA